GUGGAUCACUCUCAUCAGCUGCUGCACCGGCGCGAGGGCUCUGCUAACUCUAAAGCGGGAAACUCCUCCACCUUCCAACCAGGGUCCCAUGUAGCUGUCGGAACAGAUAAGUUUUACAAACUGAAAUGGCAAGAAGGUGUCUCGCGUUUCUGGAGCGGUUCCUCUGCUGCGCGUUCAUUGCUCUGUCACCGGCUGCGUCGCAGAGGAGAG